rnacentral:rRNA from 1 species
AGUUGGUGGGGUAAAGGCCUACCAAGGCGACGAUCUGUAGCUGGUCUGAGAGGACGACCAGCCACACUGGGACUGAGACACGGCCCAGACUCCUACGGGAGGCAGCAGUGGGGAAUUUUGGACAAUGGGGGAAACCCUGAUCCAGCAAUGCCGCGUGUGUGAAGAAGGCCUUCGGGUUGUAAAGCACUUUUGUCCGGAAGGAAAACUUCUGCCCUAAUACGGUGGGAGGAUGACGGUACCGGAAAAAUAAGCACCGGCUAACUACGUGCCACCAGCCGCGGUAAUACGUAGGGUGCGAGCGUUAAUCGGAAUUACUGGGCGUAAAGCGUGCGCAGGCGGUUCGUUAAGACAGAUGUGAAAUCCCCGGGCUUAACCUGGGAACUGCAUUUGUGACUGGCGAGCUAUAGUAUGGCAGAGGGGGGUAGAAUUCCACGUGUAGCAGUGAAAUGCGUAGAGAUGUGGAGGAAUACCGAUGGCGAAUGCAGCCCCCUGGGCCAAUACUGACGCUCA